UACGUAGGUGGCGAGCGUUGUCCGGAUUUACUGGGCGUAAAGGGAGCGUAGGCGGACUUUUAAGUGAGAUGUGAAAUACCCGGGCUCAACUUGGGUGCUGCAUUUCAAACUGGAAGUCUAGAGUGCAGGAGAGGAGAAUGGAAUUCCUAGUGUAGCGGUGAAAUGCGUAGAGAUUAGGAAGAACACCAGUGGCGAAGGCGAUUCUCUGGACUGUAACUGACGCUGAGGUGCGAAAGCGUGGGUAGCAAACAGGAUUAGAUACCGUGUA
rnacentral:rRNA from 1 species